rnacentral:rRNA from 1 species
AUUGAACGCUGGCGGCAUGCCUUACACAUGCAAGUCGAACGGCAGCACGGGAGCAAUCCUGGUGGCGAGUGGCGAACGGGUGAGUAAUAUAUCGGAACGUGCCCAGUCGUGGGGAUAACGUAGCGAAAGCUACGCUAAUACCGCAUACUAUCUAUGGAUGAAAGCGGGGGAUCGCAAGACCUCGCGCGAUUGGAGCGGCCGAUAUCAGAUUAGGUAGUUGGUGAGGUAAAGGCUCACCAAGCCGACGAUCUGUAGCUGGUCUGAGAGGACGACCAGCCACACUGGGACUGAGACACGGCCCAGACUCCUACGGAGGCAGCAGUGGGGAUUUUUGGACAAUGGGCGCAAGCCUGAUCCAGCAAUGCCGCGUGCAGGAUGAAGGCCUUCGGUUCGGUUAAACGUUACGUACGUUUUCGUUUAC